rnacentral:misc_RNA from 1 species
UGCUGCAACCACAGAGAGAGA